rnacentral:rRNA from 1 species
GACGAACGCUGGCGGCGUGCCUAAUACAUGCAAGUAGAACGCUGAAGGAGGAGCUUGCUUCUCUGGAUGAGUUGCGAACGGGUGAGUAACGCGUAGGUAACCUGCCUGGUAGCGGGGGAUAACUAUUGGAAACGAUAGCUAAUACCGCAUAACAGUAGAUAUUGCAUGAUAUCUGCUUGAAAGGUGCAAUUGCAUCACUACCAGAUGGACCUGCGUUGUAUUAGCUAGUUGGUGGGGUAACGGCUCACCAAGGCGACGAUGCAUAGCCGACCUGAGAGGGUGAUCGGCCACACUGGGACUGAGACACGGCCCAGACUCCUACGGGAGGCAGCAGUAGGGAAUCUUCCGCAAUGGGCGAAAGCCUGACGGAGCAACGCCGCGUGAGUGAAGAAGGAUUUCGGUUCGUAAAGCUCUGUUGUUAGGGAAGAAUGAUUGUGUAGUAACUAUACACAGUAGAGACGGUACCUAACCAGAAAGCCACGGCUAACUACGUGCCAGCAGCCGCGGUAAUACGUAGGUGGCAAGCGUUGUCCGGAAUUAUUGGGCGUAAAGCGCGCGCAGGUGGUUUAAUAAGUCUGAUGUGAAAGCCCACGGCUCAACCGUGGAGGGUCAUUGGAAACUGUUAAACUUGAGUGCAGGAGAGAAAAGUGGAAUUCCUAGUGUAGCGGUGAAAUGCGUAGAGAUUAGGAGGAACACCAGUGGCGAAGGCGGCUUUUUGGCCUGUAACUGACACUGAGGCGCGAAAGCGUGGGGAGCAAACAGG